rnacentral:misc_RNA from 1 species
CUGAGUACUACACUCUCUAACCCUUUGUGAACCUACGUAUACCUGUUGCUUCGGCGGGACGCCCGGCGCCUCGGGCCGGAACAGGGCCCGCCGGAGGCUCAUCAAACCCUCAUGUCUUUCGACCCGACGUAUCUCUCUGAGUGUUACAAUUAACGAACUAAGUCA